rnacentral:rRNA from 1 species
GAUGAACGCCAGCGGCAGGCCUAAUACAUGCAAGACGAACGGUAAGCUUUGUAGCAAUACGGAGCCUAGAGUGUCGCAAGGGUGCGUAACACGUAUGCAAUCUACCCUGUACAGGAGUAUAGCUCCCCGAAAGGGGAAUUAACCCUCCAUAACAUGAUGAGUCGGCAUCGACUUAUUAUUAAAACUGAGGUGGUACAGGAUGAGCAUGCGUCUGAUUAGCUAGUUGGUAGUGUAAUGGACUACCAAGGCAAUGAUCAGCAGGGGAACUGAGAGGUUGAUCCCCCACACUGGCACUGAGAUACGGGCCAGACUCCUACGGGAGGCGAGCGAGUAGGGAAUAGUUGGACAAUGGGUG